rnacentral:rRNA from 1 species
AUUGAACGCUGGCGGCAGGCCUAACACAUGCAAGUCGAGCGGUAGAGAGAAGCUUGCUUCUCUUGAGAGCGGCGGACGGGUGAGUAAUGCCUAGGAAUCUGCCUGGUAGUGGGGGAUAACGUUCGGAAACGGACGCUAAUACCGCAUACGUCCUACGGGAGAAAGUAGGGGACCUUCGGGCCUUGCGCUAUCAGAUGAGCCUAGGUCGGAUUAGCUAGUUGGUGAGGUAAUGGCUCACCAAGGCGACGAUCCGUAACUGGUCUGAGAGGAUGAGCAGUCACACUGGAACUGAGACACGGUCCAGACUAAUACGGGAGGCAGCAGUGGGGAAUAUUGGACAAUGGGCGAAAGCAUGAUCCAGCCAUGCCGCGUGUGUGAAGAAGGUCUUCGGAUUGUAAAGCACUUUAAGUUGGGAGGAAGGGUUGUAGAUUAAUACUCUGCAAUUUUGACGUUACCGACAGAAUAAGCACCGGCUAACUCUGUGCCAGCCGCCGCAGUAA